rnacentral:lncRNA from 1 species
CUAUAGCUUGACACACACUUACACAUUUAGCAAGUGAUUUUGAUAUCUUGAUGAUCAUAACAUUGUUAAUUUCUGGUGGUGUUGAGUUUGAAAAGAGAAUGAACUACUAUUGAAUUAGAACUUAACAAUUUCACUUGUAACACGGACCAAUCACUCAUUUUCUUUACUUUGCAUUAAAUUGCUAGGGACUAGCAAUAAGCAAGUUGGGGGGUGUGAUAAGAGUGUAAAAUACCAUAUUUUCCCCUCUUAACUAUUGCAUUCAUGUGAUUAUAUUAUGCCAAAAUGUACUCAUUACUCUUAUAUUUUGGUUUAGGUUGCAUUUUGGUGAAAAAGAUGAAAUUCGGAAGAAACAAGUGAAAAAUGACCAAAGUAGAAGAGAACGAAAGUUCAAGGACUAAAGUGCAAAUGAUCCAAACUUGUG